rnacentral:rRNA from 1 species
GAUGAACGCUAGCUACAGGCUUAACACAUGCAAGUCGAGGGGAAACGAUAGAGAAAGCUUGCUUUUUCUAGGCGUCGACCGGCGCACGGGUGAGUAACGCGUAUCCAACCUGCCCACCACUUGGGGAUAACCUUGCGAAAGUAAGACUAAUACCCAAUGACGUCUCUAGAAGACAUCUGAAAGGGAUUAAAGAUUUAUCGGUGAUGGAUGGGGAUGCGUCUGAUUAGCUUGUUGGCGGGUAACGGCCCACCAAGGCAACGAUCAGUAGGGGUUCUGAGAGGAAGGUCCCCACACUGGUACUGAGACACGGACCAGACUCCUACGGGAGGCAGCAGUGAGGAAUAUUGGUCAAUGGGCGCAGGCCUGAACCAGCCAAGUCGCGUGAGGGAAGACGGUCCUACGGAUUGUAAACCUCUUUUGUCGGGGAGUAACGUGCGGGACGCGUCCCGUAUUGAGAGUACCCGAAGAAAAAGCAUCGGCUAACUCCGUG